AGCAGCCGCGGUAAUUCCAGCUCCAAUAGCGUAUAUUAAAGUUGUUGCAGUUAAAAAGCUCGUAGUUGAAUUUCGGGAUUAGUGCGCCGGUCGUGCCUUCGGUAUGUACUGGUGUUACUGGUUCCUACCUUCUGACGAACCGUCAUGUCAUUAAUUUGGUGUGGCGGGGAAUCAGGACUGUUACUUUGAAAAAAUUAGAGUGUUUAAAGCAGGCUCGCGCUUGAAUACAUUAGCAUGGAAUAAUGAAAUAGGACGUUCGAUCCUAUUUUGUUGGUUUCUAGGAUUGACGUAAUGAUUAAUAGGGAUAGUUGGGGGCAUUAGUAUUCAAUUGUCAGAGGUGAAAUUCUUGGAUUUAUUGAAGACUAACUACUGCGAAAGCAUUUGCCAAGGAUGUUUUCAUUAAUCAAGAACGAAAGUUAGGGGAUCGAAGACGAUCAGAUACCGUCGUAGUCUUAACCAUAAACUAUGCCGACUAGGGAUCGGAUGAUGUUAAUUUUUAAUGACUCAUUCGGCGCCUUAC
rnacentral:rRNA from 1 species